GUCUACAGUCAUAUCACCCUGAAUAUGCCUGAUCUUGUCUGUUGGAGCUAUGCAGGGUUGGGCACAGUCAGUACUUGGAUGGGAGAUUGGCUGCAAAUCCUGGGUCCUGCAGGCU
rnacentral:rRNA from 1 species